UCCCUGGUGGUUCAAAGGGUAAAGCGUCUGCCUGCAAUGCGGGAGACCCGGGUUCGAUUCCUGGGUCGGGAA
rnacentral:tRNA from 1 species